UACGUAGGGGGCAAGCGUUGUCCGGAAUCAUUGGGCGUAAAGCGCGUGUAGGCGGCUUGUCACGUCGGGUGUGAAAGCCCGGGGCUUAACCCCGGGUCUGCAUUCGAUACGGGCUGGCUAGAGUGUGGUAGGGGAGAUCGGAAUUCCUGGUGUAGCGGUGAAAUGCGCAGAUAUCAGGAGGAACACCGGUGGCGAAGGCGGUUCUCUGGGCCUUACCUGACACUGAGGAGCGAAAGCGUGGGGAGCGAACAGG
rnacentral:rRNA from 1 species